rnacentral:misc_RNA from 1 species
UGGAAGAAUCAAUCACAAAGUUAUUUAAUUCAGAAUCAAUAAAAGUCUUCCUAACAAAGAAAACUAUAAACCCAAAUCAGAAUAAGAAUUUAGUUCAACACGGUAGAAGAAUCAAUCACAAAGUUAUUAGAUUCAAAAUCCAUACAAAUCCUCCUAACAAUGAAAACUAUGAAACCCAAAUCAGAAUAACAAGAGAAAGGAGAAAAACUCUGUUGUAUGAGCAAAAAAUAAGCAUUCCUCUUCUAGUUCCAUAAAUCUUCAAAGUUUCUUCACUUGAUCUUCUAAAAGAUGAUAAAAGUGAUGGAAAUUAGGUAAAAGUUGCCUCAAAUCGACGCAAAAGAAGUUUAUACAUGCUGCAAGUCUCCAUAAACUGUCUCAGGGCAAUUUUGUAAAGUUAUCCCAUCCUUUAAAAGUGGAUCAGCGUUGUUUUGAUUUCCACAUUGCCCGGUUAUACAUCUUAUCCCUCUCCGCAGGCCCAGGCAGCGCAGUUUGCAAACUGGGAGUUUCUGAUCACUUUGAGCCUUUCUCGCGAGUGGCAUUACCCCCAGUAACCAUUUCAACUUUCACACAAUCCCCGGCCAGUGUACAACUCUAUUAUGAAAUUCAGAACUUUUGCCUCAAAUUGUGCAUAUUCUCACCAAAACUCAAAGAAACUCAUGAAACUUCAUGCUCAUACAAAACUUAGGCUUAAAUUGCUUCCAAGAUCCUUAGAAAGCCAAGAACCCCAAGUUCACUUCACUUAACUCAUCCCCACCAUGCAACCGAAGUUCUUUCCUCCCACUCACUU